AGUGAACGCUGGCGGUAGGCUUAACACAUGCAAGUCGAACGGCAGCACUGUUAGUGCUUGCUCUUAUGGGUGGCGAGUGGCGUACGUGUGAGGAAUACAUCGUACUCUACUUUUUCGUGUGGGCUAACGUAGGUAAACUUACGCUCAUACCGCAUCCGACCUACGGGUGAAUGCAGGAAAUCUUCUUACCUUGCGCGUUUGAUUGAGCCGUUGUCGGAUUGGCUAGUUGGCGGGGUAAAGGCCCACCACGGCGGCGAUCCGUAGCUGGUCUGAGAGGAUGAUCAGCGACACGGGAACUGAGACACGGUCCAGACUACUAAGAGAGGCAGCAGAGGGGAAUAUUGGACAAUGGGCGCAAGCCUGAUACAGCCAGAGCGAAUGGGUGAAGAAGGCGUUCGGGUUGUAAAGCCGUUUUGUUGGGAAAGAAAAGCAGCAGGUUAAUACCCCGCUGUUGUGACGGUACCCAAAUAAUAAGCACCGGCUAACUUCGUG
rnacentral:rRNA from 1 species